GGGAUUAGAUACCCCACUAUGCCUAGCCUUAAACCUAGAUGCUAGAUUUACAAAUAGCGUCCGCCAGGGUACUACAAGCGCUAGCUUAAAACCCAAAGGACUUGACGGUGUCUCAGACCCACCUAGAGGAGCCUGUCCUAGAACCGAUAAUCCCCGUUAAACCUCACCACCCCUUGUCUUCUCCGCCUAUAUACCGCCGUCGCAAGCUUACCCUGUGAAGGCCCCAUAGUAAGCAAAAUGGGUAUACCCCAAAACGUCAGGUCGAGGUGUAGCUUACGAGGUGGGAAGAGAUGGGCUACAUUUUCUGUAUCAGAAUAAUACGGACGGCGCUAUGAAAUUAGUGCUCGAAGGUGGAUUUAGUAGUAAAAAGCAAAUAGAGAGUCUUUUUGAACCAGGCUCUGAGACGCGCACACACCGCCCC
rnacentral:rRNA from 1 species